rnacentral:rRNA from 1 species
AACCUGGUUGAUCCUGCCAGUAGUCAUAUGCUUGCUUCAAGGAUUAAGCCAUGCAAGUGUCGAGUAAAUAUCAUACAGUUGAUCUGCGUACAGCUCAUUACACCAGUCGUAAUCUACCUGGAUGAGUGACUCUGUCAUCGAGUGGAUAACUUCAGUAACUCUGAAGCUAAUACAUGGACGAACAUUCGAAUAGCCGCUCAAGGUGAGGAGUAAAAUCCAAGCCUGGCUAUGCGAAGCUUUUGGUCGAGAAAGAAAUCAGUCAAUAAGAUUGAAGAAUUUCGUUGGUUCAGACCAUUCUGUGCAAGGAACCGAUGCUUCGGCAUCUUCCGUGUCCGGUUGAGCGACUGACCUAUCAGCUUGUUUGCAGUGUAUUGGACUGCAGAGGCAUUGACGGGUAACGGAGAAUCAGGGUUCGAUUCCGGAGAGGGAGCCUGAGAAACGGCUGCCAUGUCUAAGGACAGCAGCAGGCGCGUAAAUUGCCCAAUACUAGCAUGAGCGAGGCAGCGACGAGAAGUAUUUACCUUGUGCUCUUCAUGAACACGAGGAUAGAAAUGGGUGACAUGCAAAGCCAUCACUGAGGAUCAAUUGGAGGGCAAGUCUGGUGCCAGCAGCCGCGGUAAUUCCAGCUCCAAUAGCGUAUACUAAUGCUGUUGCUGUUAAAAAGCUCGUAGUUCGAUAAGGAUUCGAUCUGGUUCUGAUACCAGGCUACGCAACUUGUUGCUAGCUUCGGCGACGGCCUUUUGGAUUGGAUCCUCAUUGUCGGUGACGUCUGGAUGAAGUGCUCUUCAUUGAGCAUGGAAUCAACAUCGCAGCUACCAUCUGCGCAAGGACGUACCGCUGUGAUACCGUGAACAAAACAGCGUGCUCAAAGCAAGCGUUUUCGCUCGAAUGUUCAAGCAUGGCAUAUCAAGGAAGCGACCAUGCGAUCAGUCUUUGCUGGUCUUCUAUGAUCGUCUUGGAAAAAAGGAUUGGAGUAUAUCGGCAGUCGAUGCCGUUGCCUCCGGGUAGCGGUACGCGUUUUGUUGAAGCUCCCGUUCAUACGGAAUUACCAGGGGUGAACGGAGCAGUACGUAUUCGCACGCGAGAGGUGAAAUUCUUAGACCGUGCGAAGACGAACCUAAGCGAAGGCAUUCUGCAAGUGUACCUUCAUUAAUCAAGAACGAGAGUGCAGGGAUCGAAGAUGAUCAGAUACCGUCGUAGUCUGCUACUGUAAACGAUGCGAACUCGGGAUCAGCUAUCGCUUAUCUUCUGAUUACCAGGCUGGAACCACUUCUUCUCUCCUAGCGCGAAAGCUUUAAGUUUAUGCGUUCAGGGGGAGUACAGUUGCAAGGCUGAAACUUAAAGGAAUUGACGGAAUGACACCACAAGGCGUGGAUGCUGCGGCUUAAUUUGACUCAACACGGGGAACCUCACCAGGUCAGGACGCAUGUUGGAUUGACAGAUUGAAAGCUCUUUCUUGAUUAUGUGUAUGGUGGUGCAUGGCCGCUCCUGGUUGGUGGAGUGAUUUGUCUGGUUGAUUCCGUUAACGAACGAGAUCUUGGCCGUUCAAUGACAGUUUGAUCGCUAUGUAGUCCGAUACUCUUGCGCUUGCGUACAGCAGUCGUUGGAUGAGAUCUUUCCUUGUACUCAACGGGACUAUACGUGUUGACAACGUAUGGAAGUGCGAGCCAAUAGCAGGUCUGUGAUGCUCCUAGAUGUCCUGGGCUGCACGCGGCAUACAAUGGUGAAGAAAACGAGUUUGGUUUGUUUGAGCUCCUUGUGCGAAAGCAUUGGGGAAUCUGUUGAACUUUCAUCGUAUCGUGGGGAUCGUUGCUUGCAAUUAUUUGCCUUGAACCAGGAAUGCCUUGUAGGUCCAAUUCAGCAAGUUGGACCGAAUACGUCCCUGCCGUUUGUCCGUCGUUGCAAUCGAUCGGUUCAAUGCUAGAGGUCUUCUGGAGGUGACUUCUGGAUUCGUCUAGUCGUCGCUGAAGUUGAUCAAUAGCAUUGAACUAGAGAAUGCAAAAGUCGUAACAAGGUUGCUGUAGGUGAACCUGCAGAAGGAUCA